rnacentral:rRNA from 1 species
AGAGUUUGAUUAUGGCUCAGGAUGAACGCUAGCGGCGGGCAUAAUACAUGCAAGUCAAGGGGUGGCAACACACCGGCGGACGGGUGCGUAACACGUAUAUAACCUGCCUUGUACACUCGAAUAACCAUAGGAAACUAUAGCUAAAACGAGAUGGUCUGUUUAGACGGCAUCGUUUAGACAGUAAAGAUUAAUCGGUACAAGAUGGAUAUGCGCAUGAUUAGCUAGUUGGGGAGGUAACGGCUCACCAAGGCGACGAUCAUUAGGGGUUCUGAGAGGAAGGUCCCCCACACCGGCACUGAGAUACGGGCCGGACUCCUACGGGAGGCAGCAGUAGGGAAUCUUGGUCAAUGGGCGGAAGCCUGAACCAGCCACGCCGCGUGCAGGAAGAAGGUCCUUAGGAUUGUAAACUGCUUUUAUCAGGGGGUAAAAAGGUGCUGCGGCACAAAUUGAAAGUACCUGAGGAAUAAGCACCGGCUAACUACGUGCCAGCAGCCGCGGUAAUACGUAGGGUGCAAGCGUUGUCCGGAAUUACUGGGUUUAAAGGGUGCGUAGGCGGGUUGAUAAGUCAGCGGUCAAAUCUACAGGCUUAACUUGUGGUUCGCCGUU